rnacentral:miRNA from 3 species
CUUGGAUUGAAGGGAGCUCCC